rnacentral:lncRNA from 1 species
UUCUUUUCUCUCUCUUUCCUAUCUUCUCUUGGCCCCAAGCCUUGUCGCCGACCACCUGCUUUGCUGAAAAAUCAAGAAAAGAGAAUCUAUAUUUUUUCCUAUUUUGAACGAGCCUUCCUCCUCCUUUUUCGACCACCGACGCCCCCAUCUAUGGUGCCAUACCCCUAGAUCGUGAACCCCCCACCUACCUGCUAUCUUUUUCAAAGGUCA